rnacentral:rRNA from 1 species
AGUGAACGCUGGCGGUAGGCCUAACACAUGCCAGUCGAACGGCAGCACAGUAAGAGCUUGCUCUUACGGGUGGCGAGUGGCGGACGGGUGAGGAAUACAUCGGAAUCUACUUUUUCGUGGGGGAUAACGUAGGGAAACUUACGCUAAUACCGCAUACGACCUACGGGUGAAAGCAGGGGAUCUUCGGACCUUGCGCGUUUGAAUGAGCCGAUGUGGGAUUAGCUAGUUGGCGGGGUAAAGGCCCACCAAGGCGACGAUCCGUAGCUGGUCUGAGAGGAUGAUCAGCCACACUGGAACUGAGACACGGUCCAGACUCCUACGGGAGGCAGCAGUGGGGAAUAUUGGACAAUGGGGGCAAGCAUGAUCCAGCCAUACCGCGUGGGUGAAGAAGGCCUUCGGGUUGUAAAGCCCUUUUGUUGGGAAAGAAAAGCAGCAGGUUAAUACCCCGCUGUUCUGACGGUACCCAAAGAAUAAGCACCGGCUAACUUCGUG